rnacentral:rRNA from 1 species
AUUGAACGCUGGCGGCAUGCCUUACACAUGCAAGUCGAACGGCAGCACGGGAGCAAUCCUGGUGGCGAGUGGCGAACGGGUGAGUAAAGUAUCGGAACGUGCCCAGUCGUGGGGGAUAACGUAGCGAAAGUUACGCUAAUACCGCAUACGAUCUAUGGAUGAAAGCGGGGGAUCGCAAGACCUCGCGCGAUUGGAGCGGCCGAUAUCAGAUUAGGUGGUAGGUGGGGUAAAGGCUCACCAAGCCGACGAUCUGUAGCUGGUCUGAGAGGACGACCAGCCACACUGGGACUGAGACACGGCCCAGACUCCUACGGGAGGCAGCAGUGGGGAAUUUUGGACAAUGGGCGAAAGCCUGAUCCAGCCAUGCCGCGUGCAGGAUGAAGGCCUUCGGGUUGUAAACUGCUUUUGUACGGAACGAAAAGGUUUGGCCUAAUAAGCUGAGCUCAUGACGGUACCGUAAGAAUAAGCACCGGCUAACUACGUGCCAGCAGCCGCCGUAA